UGCAACAGUAUUACUAGGCCCUUAUUCGUCAUGACUCAUGAAAACAGCACAAAAAGCAACCAAAGUAUAUCAUAGUAUCAUGUGUUAUUUGUUAUGGUCAGUUAUUUGAGCAAAGUCCUUCAUUCAUAUCAGAACCUGUAAGGGUUGCAUAAUUAAAAGAAGAAUCACUACUUGAGACAACAGAUCCUUGUCCGUGAUGUUGAAGUAUAUAAACGGCUCGUGUACAUAGUCCCUCUAUGUUAUGAUCAGAGAGGAUAUCUUGAACUUGAAGGAAUCCUUGAACUUUAAGAAAAUAAGGCUCCAAUGUAUGUUUAUAAAUGUAAUGUGUGAAGCAUUUGUGUGUAGGACUUUGUCGAAUUUUGUAUAUGUGAAUAGUAAUCUGUUU
rnacentral:lncRNA from 1 species